GGGCACGUAGUCUAGUAUGGAUAAGGCACCUGCCUUCGGAGCAGGGCAUCCCAGGUUCGAAUCCUGGCGUGCCCGCCA
rnacentral:tRNA from 1 species